UGUAAAAGAAAAUCAAUUUUCUAUCCUCAGUCACGCGAAAGCAAAACCCUUUCUCUCUUCUUGCUAUUGAGCCGCCGUCGUUGUUGAGAAUUUUGUUCUUCUCUUCGUUUCGCCUUCGUCUCGCAAGAUAACAUGCAUAUGAGGUAUUAAAUGGUUGUUAUAGGUUGUGCGUCCUCUCAUUCAUAUGAGGUAUUUAUGAAUUUAGGUUUUACUUUGUUCAUCCAAUAUUCCAAAUAAUAAACCCUCGCCAUUUUAGUGUUCAUGUAUGUGCAUAUUGACAGUUAUUAUAAGAAUGUUCUUAAGAAUCUUAUAUCCCCAACUAUUCCUUGUUGAGUGUCUAUGACAACUGAUUGGGGAAAUUACUGAAUGUUGGUAUUUCAUGACAAUACUUUUGGGCCUUAACACAGAACAGAAGCCUAACAACGGUCAACAUUUUGCAAGAUCCUGAAUUGGUGUUCAUACUAAAAUCAGGGGAAGAUAGGAAACCGCAAUUGGGACCGUAAUAUUAUGGAUACAGUAGCCUUUGCAACCACAACAACUGCAUAGAAGACCGCAAUCGCAAUUUCAAAUUAUGAUUCAGAUACUAUUUGACAUAAGUGUGCUAUACAAGGUUAUGAAAGUCAAAUGACAUGUUGUCCAAGAUCUCUGGAUUUUUUUUGGUGUUUAAGGAAAACGAUUCAACAUACAAGAAGAAAAAUUAUGUUGGCUUCCACAAUUGGUGCUUAAUUCUUACCAGAAGAUCUUUUGUGAACAUGGUUCAGUUUCUCUACAGGUGAAACAACAAUUCUAAAGCAUUGGACUACAAACACCAACAUGUUUUGAAACUUGAAGCUUUGGAGGAAUGCACUAUAACAUGUUUUGAAUACAAGGAAGUAAAGGCAAAAAAGAAUAUUUGAGAUAUUGUUAGAGAGCUGGUUAAUUGUUGUAUAUUUAAUUUUAAUAGAGUUUACCUUUGUAUACUAUUUUGUUGUAGUGAAAUGCUUUAAAAUAAAUAUAA